GAUGAACGCUGGCGGCGUGCCUAACACAUGCAAGUCGAGCGGGGAACUAUCAACAAGUAGCGAUAUUUGUGGAAAGUUUUCAGCGGCGGACGGGUGAGUAACACGUGAGGAACCUGCCUUACACAGAGGAAUAACAUCGUGAAAACGAUGCUAAUACCUCAUAACACCGCACUGUGGCAUCACAGAGCGGUCAAAGGAGAAAUCCGGUGUAAGAUGGCCUCGCGCCCGAUUAGUUAGUUGGCGGGGUAACGGCCCACCAAGACAACGAUCGGUAGCCGGACUGAGAGGUCGAACGGCCACAUUGGAACUGAGAGACGGUCCAGACUCCUACGGGAGGCAGCAGUGGGGAAUAUUGGGCAAUGGGGGAAACCCUGACCCAGCAACGCCGCGUGAAGGAAGAAGGCCUCGGUUGUAACGUUACUUUGUAUCAGGAAGAAACGAAAUAGACGGUACCUGAAGAACAAGACCACGGCGUAACUACGUGCCAGCAGCCGCGGUAAACGUAAGCGUG
rnacentral:rRNA from 1 species